rnacentral:lncRNA from 1 species
UCCGGGUAAAAUUGUCUUUUCAGGAUGAUGCAAAAAAAGUUACCCUAAAAUUAGUGGCAGUCUCUUCAUUUGCCCAAAUACUUUUACUUUUACGAUAAGUUUUAUCUUCUUCUUUCCUUCAAUCCUCCCUCUCCAUCUUCUGGUUUAACCUUCGCCGCCUCUCAUAUCUCUCUCUUUUCGAUUUAGUCUACCGCUUUUAUCGUCGCUGCAGAAGGAAAUAGCACCGUAGGUGAAGAUUUCUCCUUCUCGGUGAAAAAACAGAAACUGCAAUGGCGAUUCCCCCUCUUCGGGGAAUAUCAAAACUCAGAAAAAUUGCUCCGGGAAGCGCUCCGGCAAACCCCUUACAUUUUGAUUCGUGUACCCUUACUUAAUAAAGGCGACGUCUUCACCACCAACCUGAGGGAUGAGAUGAGAUGGUUUCAUCACUUGAGAUAUUGCAGUUCCUAUCGCUGGUUGCAAUAAAGUUCUGAUACCAAUAUAUUUAUUUUUGGUGGUAUUGUUGAUUUUUUAUUUUUGUUUUAUUUUAUUAGUUCUUAACAUAGGAUUUAUCAUUUUCAUAUUUAAUGGAUUUAUCAUUUUCAUUUAACAUAGAUUCAUUUUUCGUCGCAUAAAAAGUUAUUUUGAUACUGUAAUAUAAUACCUAACAGUUUCAUUUUAAUCUAACACAGGUUCAUUUUCGACAAAUAAUUGUUGCACAUACUGAUAUGAUUUUGGG